AAGUCGUAACAAGGUUUCCGUAGUGAACCUGCGGAAGGAUCAUUAGUGCAAGGAUAGCGCUUCACGAUUCCUGUAGACCGUACACUCGGGCAGGAGCUAUGCCAAAGGGUCCCCAUGCCCCCUUAUAACCCCACAGUUUAAUGUAAAGCUCAAUGUAAUACAUUGGGUAAAAAAACCGAACAACUGUUAACAAUGGAUAUCUUGGUUCUC
rnacentral:misc_RNA from 1 species